rnacentral:tRNA from 1 species
GUCUUGAUAGCUCAGUAGGGGGAGCGUCAGACUGAAGAUCUGAAUGUCUCCGGUUCGAUCCCGGAUCGCGACU